CCAGCUACCCAGGAGGCUGAAGCAGGAGAAUCACUUGAACCCUGAAGGCAGAAGUUGUAGUGAGCCGAGAUUGUGCUACUGCACUCCAGCCUGGGCGACAGAGCAAGACUCUGUCUCCAAAAAAAAAAAAAAAAAGUGACACAUUUGUAAGGAUGAUUCAUGAUUUAGGCCACUGGGUCACUGUGGGGUACAAGUAGAUGGCUAUUCCUCAGGGCUGGAUGUGGGGCUCACCCUUGGGCAUGAGGGAAUGACACAACUACUAGGUAUGGGUAUCCAAGGAAAAGGAUGUCUUCAAGGAAUUCGCAGUUUCUGUUAAAGCAGAAUGGGACCCUCAGGAGGCUCAUUCCCGCCUAACUGUUGUCAUCCUGUCAUCAGCUGCAUUCAUCCGGGUCGUGGGCUCGGAGUUUGUACAGAAGUAUCUAGGUGAGGGCCCCCGCAUGGUCCGGGAUGUGUUCCGCCUGGCCAAGGAGAAUGCACCUGCCAUCAUCUUCAUAGACGAGAUUGAUGCCAUUGCCACCAAGAGAUUCGAUGCUCAGACAGGGGCCGACAGGGAGGUUCAGAGGAUCCUGCUGGAGCUGCUGAAUCAGAUGGAUGGAUUUGAUCAGAAUGUCAAUGUCAAGGUUUGGGGUUUGGGAUGGACAAGGGGAGGUGU
rnacentral:sRNA from 1 species